rnacentral:rRNA from 1 species
GAUGAACGCUGGCGGCGUGCCUAAUACAUGCAAGUCGAGCGAAUGGAUUAAGAGCUUGCUCUUAUGAAGUUAGCGGCGGACGGGUGAGUAACACGUGGGUAACCUGCCCAUAAGACUGGGAUAACUCCGGGAAACCGGGGCUAAUACCGGAUAACAUUUUGAACCGCAUGGUUCGAAAUUGAAAGGCGGCUUCGGCUGUCACUUAUGGAUGGACCCGCGUCGGCAUUAGCUAGUUGGUGAGGUAACGGCUCACCAAGGCAACGAUGCGUAGCCGACAUGAGAGGGUGAUCGGCCACACUGGGACUGCGACACGGCCCAGACUACUACGGGAGGCAGCAGUAGGGAAUCUUCCGCAAUGGGCGAAAGUCUGACGGAGCAACGCCGCGUGAGUGAUGAAGGCUUUCGGGUCGUAAAACUCUGUUGUUAGGGAAGAACAAGUGCUAGUUGAAUAAGCUGGCACCUUGACGGUACCUAACCAGAAAGCCACGGCUAACUACGUGCCAGCCGCCGCGGUAA